UACGGAGGAUGCAAGCGUUAUCCGGAAUGAUUGGGCGUAAAGCGUCCGCAGGUGGCGAUGUAAGUCUGCUGUUAAAGAGUGAGGCUCAACCUCAUAAGAGCAGUGGAAACUACAUAGCUAGAGUGCGGUAGGGGCAGAGGGAAUUCCUGGUGUAGCGGUGAAAUGCGCAGAUAUCAGGAGGAACACCAGCGGCGAAGGCGGCGCUCUGGGCCGGUACUGACACUGAGGAGCGAAAGCGUGGGUAGCAAACAGG
rnacentral:rRNA from 1 species